rnacentral:rRNA from 1 species
AGUGAACGCUGGCGGUAGGCCUAACACAUGCAAGUCGAACGGUAGCACAGUAAGAGCUUGCUCUUACGGGUGGCGAGUGGCGGACGGGUGAGGAAUACAUUGGAAUCUACUUUUUCGUGGGGGAUAACGUAGGGAAACUUACGCUAAUACCGCAUAUGCCCUAUGGGUGAAAGCAGGGGAUCUUCGGACCUUGCGCGAUUGAAUGAGCCGAUGUCGGAUUAGCUAGUUGGCGGGGUAAAGGCCCACCAAGGCGACGAUCCGUAGCUGGUCUGAGAGGAUGAUCAGCCACACUGGAACUAGGACGCGGACCAGACUCCUACGGGAGGCAGCAGUGGGGAAUAUUGGACAAUGGGCGCAAGCCUGAUCCAGCCAUACCGCGUGGAUGAAGAAGGCCUUCGGGUUGUAAAACCCUUUUGUUGGGAAAGAAAAGCAGCAGGUUAAUACCCCGCUAUUCUGACGGUACCCAAAGAAUAAGCACCGGCUAACUUCGUG